UUCGCCGCCGGUGGGCACCGUGGCCCUCUCCCGCUUCUGCGCCCGCUGGAGCUUCGGAGAUCCCUGUGGUCCCACGGGACAGCGCGGCAGCAGUGGGCCUCGCAGACAGGAUCUUGCGCUCUCGCCCAGAUUGGAAUACAGCAGUGUGAACACGGCUCACUGCUUCAACCUCCUGGACUCAGAAAUGUCGGCUUAUUUAUAGGAAUUGCUUGAAGCCAGAGUCAUGGUGGAUGUAGGAAAGUGGCCCAUCUUCACUCUGCUCUCCCCUCAAGAGAUUGCACCUCAGCCAAUGAAGCACUGUAAGUUACUGACAAUGAUGAGGUCUUUGUAUUUGGACUGAACUAUAGUAACUGUCUAGGAACUGGAGAUAACCAGAGUACACUUGUACCCAAAAAGCUGGAAGGCUGAUGUGGAAAGAUUAAAAGCCUCAGUUAUGGGAGCGGACCACAUGUUCUUCUCAGCACCGAAGAUGGAGUGGUUUAUGCCUGGGGCCACAAUGGUUAUAGCCAGCUUGGGAAUGGGACAACCAACCAAGGCGUUGCUCCCAUCCAGGUCUGUACCAAUCUCUUGAUCAAGCAAGUGGUGGAAAUGGCUGUGGCUCACAUCAUUCAACGGCUCUAGCAGCUGAUGGAGGGGUAUUUGCUUGGGGUUAUAACAAUUGUGGCCAGGUGGGAUCAGGUUCUAUAGCAAAUCAACCAACUCCUCAAAAAGUUACAAACUGUUUACAUAUUAAGAGGGUAGUUGGCAUUGCCUGUGGUCAGACUUCAUCCAUGGCUGUUCUGGACAAUGGCGAGAUAUAUGGCUGCGGUUACAAUGGCAACCAGCUGACCCCUGUGAGAGUGGCAGCUUUGCAGUGUGUGUGUGAACCAGAUUGUCUGCGGCUACGCACAUACUCUAGCACUAUAGAUGAGGGCUUGCACUAUGCCUGUGGAGCUAACACAUGGGCAGCUGGGAACCUGCAAUAAAAAUAAUCUGCUAAGUCCAGCACACAACAUGGUGGAGGAAGAAAGGGUGGUAGAGAUUGCAGCCUGUCAUUCUACCCACACGUCCGCGGCCAAGACGCAGGGUGGGCAUGUGUACAUGUGGGGCCAGUGCCGGGGCCAGUCUGUGAUCCUGCCACACCUCACCUACUUCUCCUGCACCGAUGAUGUGUUUGCCUGCUUUGCCACUCCCGCCGUCUCUUGGCCCUUCCUGUCUGUGGAACAUGAAGACUUUUUAACAGUUGCAGUCACUGAAGAAAGAAUUUGAUAGUCCAGAAACUGCUGAUCUGAAGUUUCAAACUGAUGGAAAAUAUAUUCACAUCCAUAAAGCUGUUUUGAAAAUCAGGUGUGAGCACUUUCGAUCCAUGUUCCAGUCGUAUUGGAAUGAAGACAUGAAGGAAGUGAUAGAAAUCGACCAGUUGUCCUACCCAGUGUAUCGUGCCUUUCUCCAGUACCUCUACACAGACACAGUGGACCUGCCGCCGGAAGAUGCUAUAGGUCUUCUGGAUUUGGCGACAUCUUACUGUGAAAACAGACUGAAAAAACUUUGUCAGCACAUUAUCAAGAGAGGAAUUACUGUGGAGAAUGCCUUUUCGCUAUUCUCUGCUGCAGUCAGAUAUAAUGUAGAGGAUUUAGAAGAAUUCUGCUUUAAGUUUUGCAUCAAUCAUCUGACAGAAGUUACACAGACUACAGCAUUUUGGCAAAUGGAUGGCCUUCUGCUAAAGGAAUUCAUUGCUAAAGCCAGUAAGUGUGGAGCCUUUAAGAACUGAAGUGCAAGGCUCCUGAGUUCUUUGUGAGUGCUCUGGGGCACUGUUGAGGAUGUGUCCAGUUUGUGCUCUACGGGUGAUGUAAUUCUGCAUGGAAAAGACCAUCAGGUUGUGUUUUUCCACAUCUGGGACACAGUUGUCUGUGUAGGAACAUAUCAAGGGCGUAUGGCUUUUCUUGAGCCCAUUUUAAACAACUCUUGUUUCCAGAUAAGUGUAUUUUAAAUGUGACCUUUCUUUAAUUUGGGCUGGAACAUGUAAAACAGUAGAAGUUUAGUCGUUUUUGGUUUUGCUUUCAUUUUUGAUUAGAGGAACU